rnacentral:lncRNA from 1 species
UCACGGGAUAGUCCACAUGAUAGUCUAUCUGUUGAAAAUAUUGAAGACUAAAGGACAUUUGCUAAUGUCAUAUGGACUAAAUAUAGUCCACAGGAUAAUUCAUCUGUUGGAGAUGCUCUAAGGUGACAAUAGAGUGAGCAUUCGAUUAUUAACCGAACCGAAUACACAUUUCGGUUAUAACCGAAAAUCGAAUUUACAUUAUUUAGAAUAUCCAAAUAAUUACCCGAACUACAUGAUAGCCGAAUAACCGAAUAACCAAACUAAUUAUUCGGUUAAUGACCGAAUUUGAUGCAUCUUAAUGCUAAACACUUGGAUGCUUAAUAUCUGUUGCGCAGCAACUUUUUCAGAAUAUCUUACCACUGAUUCUUUUUUCUUUUUUUGGCUUUCAGAGAGAAGAAGAAGAUUGAAGAAAGAACAAGAUCACAAAGAAAAACCACUAGCUUCUCUUGAGAGCUCAUGAAGAACAUUUACACGAGUGCGACUAUGGGAGAUGAGGGAUCAUAGACACUUCUAAAUUUGCAGUCAAGCGUGGCAAGCAUCUUCACCUGACCUAAUGGAGAUUUUAGUUGAGAGACUGAGACUAUGAGAGUUCGAGACUUUGAGAGACUGAUGGUUGCUGGAUCUUAUCAUCACUAAUACUACAGCUGUUCUCCAUUUCAGAAGAGAAGAGAGAACAGAGAGAGUCCUGCAAUGAAAUAAUGAAUGUUGGGUCCCUGCCUAGAAUUGAAUGGCAGUCUCUCUCGUAGUAAUAUACUAAAAGAGUAAAAGUACAUAUUUGAAUAUUUU